UAUACUGAGAAGUUGAGAAAGAAACGACCAGUUGGGAAGCCAAAGUCGAUACCAUAAGGGAGAUAAUUCGCACGUGCAAGCGUUGGGAUGUAAUUGUUGUUUCCACAGUCAGCCAAUGAGUCCCCGAAGAUAAACAAGGCCGGCGCAAGAGGGUGGUCCCUUGACUGGCCAUGAAUAAACGAGACAAGACCUAAGAACACAACAGAGAACACCAACAAUUCCUUCAUGAGACAGCUUUUGGGAGAGGGAAUCUACAAACUCACCUAUUCUUCAUUUUCUUGAAUUAUUUUUGGCAAAUUGGUCACAAGCCAUUGAUGUUUUUGAGUUAAGCCUUUGACAGUCAAUUUAUAACGUUAUGGAGGGAAAAAGGAACUGAAUUUUUUAAGUCAUUGAAUAAAAAACGUGGGAAUUGGUAUCUAA